rnacentral:rRNA from 1 species
AUUGAACGCUGGCGGCAGGCCUAACACAUGCAAGUCGAACGGUAACAGGAAGCAGCUUACUGCUUUGCUGACGAGUGGCGGACGGGUGAGUAAUGUCUGGGAAACUGCCUGAUGGAGGGGGAUAACUACUGGAAACGGUAGCUAAUACCGCAUAACGUCGCAAGACCAAAGAGGGGGACCUUCGGGCCUCUUGCCAUCGGAUGUGCCCAGAUGGGAUUAGCUAGUAGGUGGGGUAACGGCUCACCUAGGCGACGAUCCCUAGCUGGUCUGAGAGGAUGACCAGCCACACUGGAACUGAGACACGGUCCAGACUCCUACGGGAGGCAGCAGUGGGGAAUAUUGCACAAUGGGCGCAAGCCUGAUGCAGCCAUGCCGCGUGUAUGAAGAAGGCCUUCGGGUUGUAAAGUACUUUCAGCGGGGAGGAAGGGAGUAAAGUUAAUACCUUUGCUCAUUGACGUUACCCGCAGAAGAAGCACCGGCUAACUCCGUG